CUUCAGCUAACGAGUCCCAACUAGGACGAAACGUGCGUCGAGGAU
rnacentral:hammerhead_ribozyme from 1 species